rnacentral:rRNA from 1 species
GACGAACGCUGGCGGCGCGCCUAACACAUGCAAGUCGAACGAGCGGGAGAGAGCUUGCUUUCUCGAGCGAGUGGCGAACGGGUGAGUAACGCGUGAGGAACCUGCUUCAAAGAGGGGGACAACAGUUGGAAACGACUGCUAAUACCGCAUAAGCCCACGGCUUGGCAUCGAGCUGAGGGAAAAGGAGCAAUCCGCUUUGAUAUGUCCUCGCGUCCGAUUUGCUAGUUGGUGAGGUAAUGGCCUACCAAGGCGAAGAUCGGUAGCCGGACUUAGAGGUUGAACGGCCACAUUGGGACUGAGACACGGCCCAGACUCCUACGGGAGGCAGCAGUGGGGAAUAUUGCACAAUGGGGGAAACCCUGAUGCAGCGACGCCGCGUGGAGGAAGAAGGUCUUCGGAUUGUAAACUCCUGUUGUUGGGGAAGAUAAUGACGGUACCCAACAAGGAAGUGACGGCUAACUACGUGCCAGCCGCCGCGGUAAGAC